rnacentral:rRNA from 1 species
UACGUAGGGGGCAAGCGUUGUCCGGAAUCAUUGGGCGUAAAGAGCUCGUAGGCGGUGUGUCGCGUCGGCCGUGAAAACCUGCAGCUUAACUGUGGGCGUGCGGUCGAUACGGGCAUCACUGGAGUUCGGCAGGGGAGACUGGAAUUCCUGGUGUAGCGGUGAAAUGCGCAGAUAUCAGGAGGAACACCGGUGGCGAAGGCGGGUCUCUGGGCCGAUACUGACGCUGAGGAGCGAAAGCGUGGGGGAGCGAACAGG